UACGUAGGGAGCAAGCGUUGUCCGGAAUCAUUGGGCGUAAAGCGCGCGUAGGUGGCCAUGUAAGUCCGCUGUGAAAGUCAAAGGCUCAACCUUUGAAAGCCGGUGGAUACUGCAUGGCUAGAGUACGGAAGAGGCGAGUGGAAUUCCCGGUGUAGCGGUGAAAUGCGCAGAUAUCGUAAGGAAGACCAGUGGCGAAGGCGGGUCUCUGGACAGUUCCUGACGCUGAGGCACGAAGGUCAGGGGAGCAAACGGG
rnacentral:rRNA from 1 species